rnacentral:tRNA from 1 species
GGGACUAUAGUUAAUAAUAACAUUUGAGUUGCAUUCAAAAAGUACUACCAUACAGUAGUUAGCCUCA